GGGACGCAGGCUGGCCAGCAAACCUUACAGAUCUAAUGGACAAGGGCUCGGCAUGGGGUUACGCAGAGACGCCGCACUCAACACUGCCUGUGUGGAACAGGUGAUGGGACGGGAGGCAGGGUCAUUGUGAGGAUCAAAUGAGAUCAUCCAGGGGCUGGCAAAUCUGUGUUUAGUAAACAACAGAUGGUAUGAUUAUCGUUGUCAUUAUUGACAUGUGAGAUGGGAAGCUCUCCUCCCUGAGAAAAGAUGCAGCCGGGCCAUUAGCCCCACAGGCCGCUCCUUAAGCGAACAUCACAGAAGAAACCUCUCAGCUCUACUCGCUGAUCUCAGGUUUUUGGACUUCUGAGAACCCAGCAGCUCCAGGAUAACAGCUCACAUCUCCAAGGCCAGGGGAAGGACAUCUUUUUCUGAGUCACUCAAAUACCCACUCUUGGCUCUGACUGGCUCUGAUGGCUUGGCUGGGGUCAUCUGCCAAUCUCCAAGCCAACACUGUGCAGAGCUGCAUAGUGUGCUAUGCAACUCUGAUUCACAGGUGACUCUCAAGCCAGGGAUUAACUCCACCUAAAGUACACGAGCUGAAAAUGACAAGAGGAGUAGUUCCUCAGAUGAAAAUUGAGGGGCAAUGACCAGAAGAGGGAGGGAGGGAUGCUAGGCAGGGGAACUACAACCGUUCUCCACAGGGAAGAGGCGUAUAUGCACAGGAUCCCUCGGGCCUGGACCUGUGUAAGAAGACAUCAGUGGACUGACACACAGCCCCAGAUACAGGGAGAAAACGAGAUACCACCACAUCCCAGAAAACAGAUGUUGGCCACCCCUCUGGGACUUGGUACUUCAUAGUUAAUUAGCACAUAAUCGUGGCACCCUGAAAUCCACAAGAGUCACCAGCCCAGGCCUCCUUCCUCCCUGAUGGCACUGUGCUGUCUUUGAGUAUAGGGACCAAAGUGUCUCCCCUCUGUACCUGCAGAAACAGAAUGAAUAAUAAUCUUUGGCAGGAUCUGUGAUGGGGAAUUCCCCUCAUUCUGAGGUAGAGCCACUUCCACCACAGCGGCUGACAGUUUCCCAACCUC